UGCUAUGGCGGCUGUGCGUGGGACACCUGCGGGUGUGCCGGGUUUCGUAAUAGUCCCGGUCGGCUAACCCGCGUACAGCUGCCACCCUC
rfam:Pseudomonas batumici strain TCM B-321 Contig_8, whole genome shotgun sequence.